UACGAAGGGAGCUAGCGUUGUUCGGAAUCACUGGGCGUAAAGCGCACGUAGGCGGAUUUGUCAGUCAGGGGUGAAAUCCCGGGGCUCAACCUCGGAACUGCCUCUGAUACAGCAAGUCUUGAGUCCGGAAGAGGUGGGUGGAAUUCCUAGUGUAGAGGUGAAAUUCGUAGAUAUUAGGAAGAACACCGGUGGCGAAGGCGGCCCACUGGUCCGGUACUGACGCUGAGGUGCGAAAGCGUGGGGAGCAAACAGG
rnacentral:rRNA from 1 species